rnacentral:rRNA from 1 species
AUUGAAAGCUGGCGGCAGGCGAAACAAAAGCAAGUCUGGCGAGCGGCGGACGGGUGAGUAAUGUCUGGGAAACUGCCUGAUGGAGGGGGAUAAAUGCUGGAAACGGUAGCUCAUACCGACUACCAUCAGAUGUGCCCAGAUGGGAUUAGCUAGUAGUUGGGGUAAUGGCUCACCUAGGCGACGAUCCCUAGCUGGUCUGAGAGGAUGACCAGCCACACUGGAACUGAGACACGGUCCAGACUCCUACGGUAGGCAGCAGUGGGGAAUAUUGCACAAUGGGCGCAAGCCUGAUGCAGCCAUGCCGCGUGUAUGAAGAAGGCCUUCGGGUUGUAAAGUACUUUCAGCGAGGAGGCGUUACUCGCAGAAGAAGCACCGGCUAACUCCGUGCCAGCCGCCGCGGUAAUAC